rnacentral:rRNA from 1 species
UACGGAGGGUGCGAGCAUUAAUCGGAAUUAUUGGGCGUAAAGAGGGCGUAGGCGGAUAGGUAAGUCAGACGUGAAAUUCCGGAGCUUAACUUCGGAGCUGCGUUUGAAACUGUGUAUCUUGAGGAUAGGCGGAGAAAACGGAAUUCCACAUGUAGCGGUGAAAUGCGUAGAUAUGUGGAAGAACACCGGUGGCGAAGGCGGUUUUCUAGCUUAUACCUGACGCUGAGGCCCGAAAGCUAGGGGAGCAAACAGG